AAGCGCUUGCAACCAGACUUGUGUGUGGCGGCUCCCCUCGUCUUCUGACGGGGUUAUUCUGCCAUAACCAGGCCAGCAUCGAUUUAGGUGGCCAGUUAAAGGCUCGGGGAAUGUAUCUACCCACGGGUAGACUUAUAGACCGGGGUGUCAUGCGACCUCCCGGGACCGAGGAACGCGCUUCGGCUCGGAUGUUGGCGUAAUGGUUGUCAGCGA
rnacentral:rRNA from 1 species